UACGUAGGGUGCAAGCGUUAAUCGGAAUUACUGGGCGUAAAGCGUGCGCAGGCGGUUGUGUAAGACAGAUGUGAAAUCCCCGGGCUUAACCUGGGAACUGCAUUUGUGACUGCACGGCUGGAGUGCGGCAGAGGGGGAUGGAAUUCCGCGUGUAGCAGUGAAAUGCGUAGAUAUGCGGAGGAACACCGAUGGCGAAGGCAAUCCCCUGGGCCUGCACUGACGCUCAUGCACGAAAGUGUGGGGAGCAAACAGG
rnacentral:rRNA from 1 species